UGUUGUCUGAUUCAUUGGUCAAUUCUUCAGUGUGAAUUUUUCUAUUGUUUGCUAGUAAAAUCAUGCAGCAUCUUACAUCGAGAAGCAAAAAAACAUGCCUUGGUUAUUUAUGGCCUUCUCUUUUCUGUUGUUUGUUUAUGGUUUGUUUCAUCUUAUUGUUUAUUUUGUUUUUAUGAAUUUAUCAGUAUUUAAAUUUCUAUAUAUUCCAUUUUAUGAAACAUAAUAUUAGUGGGAUAGGGCCUUUUAAAUCACAUCUACAUUGCAUUUUCAGUAUAGUUAGGUAGAUUUAGGCCUUGUGGGGUCCAGGUCAUUUGUUGUGUAUUGAUCAAAUAUAUUAUAAACCACAGCCAAACAAUUUAGACCUUUCAUUAAGAUCAAUCAACUCAUGUUUGAACUUAUAUUGAAUUUGAUGUACUUACUCUGCACUCAUGUUUCAACUUAGUAUUGAAUGAGUCGUCUAAUGGUCUAGAUUACGUUGCUAUGGCAAAUGUGUGAUUCUGUUAUUGUAAAGUGGAUCAAAUUAUAGAAAUAAUGAUUUGGUUGGAUAUAUGAUUCGUGAUUGUAUUAUCACGUAGUUUGAUCCAUGAAAUUGAUGUGAUACAAAUAUAGACAUAUAGUAGCAUAUUAGAAUGAGACUUGGUUGUUGAUGUAAUAGGAUUGCUCUUGUAUCAAUGGUUGAGAAUCACCGUAUGUGACUAAUUGAACAUAGUAUUUGGAAGUUUAUUAAUAUGUACAUAUGGUUCCAAUUGCUUGAUGGAAGAAAAGAAAAAAAUGUAGUCACAGACAUAGGGUUAAUUUUACCCAUGCUAAUUGUUGCACUUUUGUGGUAACGAUCCCCCCGUGGCCAAAUAAAAGUGCAGUAGACGUUUUUAACGUUAUAUAUCAAAUAAAUCAUCAACUGUGGCACAUAUGUUUGCCUGAGGUUGGGGUGAGGGAGGGGAGGCUUGGAAGUGGAGAAGGAAACUUUGGGUGCGGGAGUCGGAGUUUGUAGAGGAGUGUAGGAAUUUAUUGAUGAUGAUGAUGAGUGGAGAUGGAUCCCGGAUCUAGUUGACGGGUAUACAGUUAGAGGGAGUCGGAUACUUACAGAUAGGACCCCCCCUCCCCCGAGUGAUGUUGUCCCCGCGGCUCACCUGUUAAGGUCUCGGUGUUUUGCUUGGCGGCUUUUCCGGAAUAGAUUGACAACUAGAGCCAAUUUAUUUCUGAGAGGUAAAGAACAGUCUCCUCUUCAUUAUAGUUAAACUUCUCUCAUUCUUUUGGAUUAAAGCUAAAUUUGCUAUUUUUCAUUAUAGUUUUCAUAAUUGGUGCCAAAAACUCACUUAUGUGUUUGGGUAUUGGCUAAUUGGUGUUUCAAACUGUUGAACUUGUGUUGUAUUUUUCGGCUAUCUUCAUUGUACUUCUUGUGCUGGGUUGAUAAGCUGUUGGUAGUAAUAUAUUUCAUUUUGC
rnacentral:lncRNA from 1 species